CACUCUUAAUAAAAGACAUUCCCAUCUGUAUGAUCACACCCUCCCUCAGACCUUUUCAUCUGUUUUCUAGAAAGAUAAGGUCUGGUGAUGGAAAGUUAAAACGUGGUGCUGAACUUGGACAUUAGCAACACCACCAUUUACCUCAAAAAAAUUCUCCACAGUGGUGUGUGUGUGUGUGUGUGUGUGUGUGUGUGUGUGCACAGUUUGCAUUUGCAAUGAUGGAAAUCAGUUUGGAUCAUUGGGCAGAGUUUCCCCAGAAAGAAUAAGAGGCUCUUUUAGAAUGUUAAACCAGAUCCUUAUUGGUUUCAGCCCUCAACUGAUUAUUUUGUAGGUAAAAGAAAGCCUGAGGAGGCUUUCCCCUCUGAGUUUUUCCGUGGAUUGCUGGACUCUGAGGCCCUCAUUCCUCUUGCAGGAGGUGUGCAGCAAAACUGUGUUGAAUGAACUGUAGAUGGAAAUUCUCUCCUUCCCACCGAGGAGCCGCUGCAGGUUGCAGACUCCCAGAAUGCCACACUGAGAAGAGGAGGGCUAAAAUUCUAGAGCAGAAUCCCUGGGGCAGCCCCUGCUGAAGAAGGGUGCAUCUGUUGAGAAUCUCAUCACCGCCCCCACCCCGCCCAGCCUUCAAUUUAGAGGAAUUUCUAGUUCACGCAGAAUGAAGACAAGAUCACAUAAGGGCCUCAGAGUAUGUCAGCUGGGGUCAGACGGGAACAGGAGUCUGGCUCAACACACAUUUAUUGCACUCCUGCUUCAUGCCAAGAAAUGCACCAAAAUCUGGGACUGUGUAACACAGCAAAGGAAAAG
rnacentral:lncRNA from 1 species